rnacentral:sRNA from 23 species
GUCAACGACCCCGGCCUGAAGGCCGGAGCUUGCAGGAGCAAUCCUGACGGCUCAAGGUUGACCAGCCUACGCCGCUGUGCGCGGCUCCGUUGUACGGAGGUUGCAAGACUCACCCUGGAAUGCUUCCUCAGUUCCAGGCCCUGAA